UCAUGGGGGUCUAAGUUCAACAGGAAAGGAUUUUUACUUACACUAAUGGUUAUUUUUUCUUAGUAUUAGUGUAAUUUAGGAUUAAUUAGGGUACAAAUAUUGAUUGAAAAUGAUUUAAGGGGUUUCCUAAGUGAUUUAGUUUACUGAUUUUAUAAUGUUAAAAUGAAAAGAAUGAUUUUCCUCAUGGGUGUGUAUGUUCAAUAGGAAAGGAUUUUUACUUAAACUAAUGGUAAUUAUUACAUAGUAUUUGUGUAAUUUAGGAUAAAUAAAGGUACAAAUAUUGAUUUAAAUAAAUUUAGGGAGUUUCCUUAGUGAUCAAGUAUACUGAAUUUGUAGCGUUAAAAUUAAAAGUAUAAAUUUACUCAUGGGGUUCUAAGUUCAACAGGAAAGGAUUUUUACUUAAACUAAUGGUGAAUAUUUCUUAGUGUUAAUGUAAUUUAAGACAAAUCAGGGCAGAAGUAAAGAUCCAAGAAUAUUUAUGAGGUUUUUGGAGUGAAUAAGUAAACUGAAUUUUUAACGUUGAAAUGAAAAGCAUGGGUGUCCUCAUGGAGGUCUAUUUAGUUCAAUAGGAAAGGAUUUUUAUUUAAACUAUAAUGGUGAUAUAGGUUGUUUUUUUUAAUAAUCAAUUACAUGUACAUCAUGUAUACUGAUUUUUUCAAGUUAAAAGCAAAAGAUAUUGGUUUCCUCAUGGGGGUCCAAUACUUUACAAAAGGAUUAUUUUAUAUACUCACGGUGAUUAUUUCGUUGCAUUUAUGAACUCAACAUGUAACCAAUAUUAUUCUUCUUUUUUACAUUUUCUUUUCGAGACUCAAAACCAAAAAUUUUGUUUGCAAAUAGUGACUGAUGUGCCUUAUGAUGUAGAUGUUGGAUAUUGUGCUUUUCCAGAGAAAUGGCCCAAAAUGGAAAGCAUCUGCAGACAAUGACUGAUAUGUUUUUUGAUGCAGAUGUUUAAAAUGAUGCUUUUGAAGGAAAAAUAUCCAAGGUAAAUGAGGUUUCCUGAGAAAAGUGUUUGUCUCACAUGGAAAAGCCAUUGUCUAAGAUUAAACAUAUUAAGCACCAGUGUUCAGACAUAGGUUAACUUCCUAGAUAGACGAUUGAGGACCAAUAGUGUCAACGGAAAAAAAUCUACGCCAUGAAUAUUGCUUUAAUCAAUACUGGUUUAGAAAUGAUAAUGAAAUUCUGGUACAUUUUUUAUUGAUCGUGUGGUUUUCAUGUAUUCUCCCAAAAAUGAAGAUAUGAGAGAAUUAAUACACUUUUUACGUGUACAUGUACGUGUAAAUUCAGUAGCAUUGAAAGUUGGGUUAUACAAUGUACAUAUUUUGCUGUUUUAAUGUUCCUAAACGAUCAUAUUGCCUUGUUCAUAUUAAUAUUUAAAUGUUUUAGUAAUACUCAAUAAAAUGUCAGAGUCUAA